CUCUCCCUCUUUCCUCCGGCCUCCCCCCUGCACGUCGACCGCACUCUUCGGAGUUAGUGGCGGACGGGUGAGUAACACGUGGGAACGUGCCUUUUGGUUCGGAAUAACUCAGGGAAACUUGUGCUAAUACCGAAUGUGCCCUUCGGGGGAAAGAUUUAUCGCCAUUAGAGCGGCCCGCGUCUGAUUAGCUAGUUGGUGAGGUAACGGCUCACCAAGGCGACGAUCAGUAGCUGGUCUGAGAGGAUGACCAGCCACACUGGGACUGAGACACGGCCCAGACUCCUACGGGAGGCAGCAGUGGGGAAUCUUGCGCAAUGGGCGAAAGCCUGACGCAGCCAUGCCGCGUGAAUGAUGAAGGUCUUAGGAUUGUAAAAUUCUUUCACCGGGGACGAUAAUGACGGUACCCGGAGAAGAAGCCCCGGCUAACUUCGUG
rnacentral:rRNA from 1 species